rnacentral:rRNA from 1 species
GAUGAACGCUAGCGGCAGGCCUAAUACAUGCAAGUCGAGGGGCAGCGGGUGUAGCAAUACAUGCCGGCGACCGGCGCACGGGUGCGUAACGCGUAUGCAACUUACCUCUAACAGGGGAAUAGCCCCGAGAAAUCGGGAUUAAUACCUCAUAACAUUUAUCAUUCGCAUGUUUGAUAAAUUAAAGCUCCGGCGGUUAGAGAUGGGCAUGCGUGACAUUAGCUAGUUGGUGAGGUAACGGCUCACCAAGGCUACGAUGUCUAGGGGUUCUGAGAGGACAUUCCCCCACACUGGUACUGAGACACGGACCAGACUCCUACGGGAGGCAGCAGUAAGGAAUAUUGGGCAAUGGACGCAAGUCUGACCCAGCCAUGCCGCGUGCAGGAUGAAGGCCCUAUGGGUUGUAAACUGCUUUUUGUACGGGAAGAAACUUCCGCACGUGUGCGGAAUUGACGGUACCGUGCGAAUAAGCACCGGCUAACUCCGUGCCAGCAGCCGCGGUAA